rnacentral:tRNA from 1 species
GCUCUUAUAGAUAUAAUGAGUAAGCCAUCUGGACUUUGAAUCCAGCGAUCCGAAUUCAAAUACCGGUAUGAGCU